rnacentral:rRNA from 1 species
AGUGAACGCUGGCGGUAGGCCUAACACAUGCAAGUCGAACGGCAGCACAGUAAGAGCUUGCUCUUACGGGUGGCGAGUGGCGGACGGGUGAGGAAUACAUCCGAAUCUACUUUUUCGUGGGGGAUAACGUAGGGAAACUUACGCUAAUACCGCAUACGACCUACGGGUGAAAGCAGGGGAUCUUCGGACCUUGCGCGAUUGAAUGAGCCGAUGUCGGAUUAGCUAGUUGGCGGGGUAAAGGCCAACCAAGGCGACGAUCCGUAGCUGGGCUGAGAGGAUGAUCAGCCACACUGGAACUGAGACACGGUCCAGACUCCUACGGGAGGCAGCAGUGGGGAAUAUUGGACAAUGGGCGCAAGCCUGAUCCAGCCAUACCGCGUGGGUGAAGAAGGCCUUCGGGUUGUAAAGCCCUUUUGUUGGGAAAGAAAAGCAGCAGGUUAAUACCCCGCUGUUCUGACGGUACCCAAAGAAUAAGCACCGGCUAACUUCGUG